UACGAAGGGGGCUAGCGUUGUUCGGAAUUACUGGGCGUAAAGGGCGCGUAGGCGGUCCCUCAAGUCAGGCGUGAAAGCCCCGGGCUCAACCUGGGAACUGCGCUUGAGACUGGUGGGCUCGAGUUCGGGAGAGGAUGGUGGAAUUCCCAGUGUAGAGGUGAAAUUCGUAGAUAUUGGGAAGAACACCGAUGGCGAAGGCAGCCAUCUGGACCGACACUGACGCUGAGGCGCGAAAGCGUGGGGAGCAAACAGG
rnacentral:rRNA from 1 species